UGGACAUUAAAGCCCUUUCCAUUAUGUUGGCGAGGGAUUCCAGGGAAAGUUGUAAAGAUGUUUAAAGCAUUACCUCCCAAACCUAAUUUGCAGAAGUGCAAAGUGCAGUUUCCAAUGCUGGUGAUGAUGUAAUAUUGUGGCCUGACGGUCAAUUUAUUCCCUACAAGGAUGAUGAACUUGUCACCAACCACACUGCUUUCCUCCCAAGGCCAGGGCGUACACCUUUGCUUGCCAGUAACCUUGUGGAGGGAUUGAUUGCACAUUGGAAGCUCAGUGAGAGGAUAGGAGUUUCUGUGUUGAAACACAGCAAGUCCCGGGCAAACCCAAGAGUAGUACCAACACCCAAUGGCAGAAGUAUUCUUUUCCUAGGAGCAGGGAAUAUGUCUCUCAUGGACAUAGAAACUCUUGCAUUGAGGACAAAGAGUAGAAAUGGGACGGUCUCCAGUUUCCACUAUUGCACAAUGUCCCCAAAUGGCCUCCUUAUUGCCAGCAUUGCUAGGACAUCUACCAUGUUUGAGCUUGGUGUGUCUUUACUCAGCUCUGAUGACCUGAUCAUUUCCAUAGAUACUGCAAUAUGUCACCAUAUAUGUAAGGGGUUUGUUGGGACCAGGAGAUACACUGAAGAGGUAGAGUGUAAAUGGUCCCCAGACAGUAGCUGUAUUGCAGUUGCAGGUUCAUUUGGGAUGUUGUUUGUUGUGACACGGAAAGCUCUCAAACUCAAAUUUUGCCUCCAUGAGGACUUAGAAUUACCUGUGUGUACCAUAAACAAUGCAAGGUCUUUUGAUUUUGAUCCCCGUUACCGUCAU